rnacentral:lncRNA from 1 species
AUGGCCGUGCUGUCCUUUGUGCUCCAACACGCCCUGAGCACUCCACAGUGCUUUGCUGCAUCGCCAUCUCAGCCGUUGAACCUUCUUGUUGGUUUCUUCCAUCUGUUCAGCCGAAGCAGUCUUCACAUGCUGGGUGAGCAAAGCCCUGGUUCACCAGGGUCAACGACCCGAUGGCUACUCUCACAAGGUUUAGCCAGCCUGUCCAAGCCGUUGCCCGGGGUGUGGCCACUGCCACAUGCUAGCAGCUACUGGGAGCCACAAGUGAGAGCUGGGUGUCAGCUUUACCUUUGUAUUAUGACAUGAACAACUGUUCUCCAUAUCCUCUGAAUGAAGAAGAUUCACUGCUUGGGACUUCAUCAUAAUCCAAGGAACCUCAUCAUCCUGCAAGAUCACCUAGACUAGCUGGCUUCACUCCUUGGGAUUUUUCUAUUUUGCCCCUGGGCUAGGUACCUUCCUUCCCUGUCUUCCCUUUUUCAGUUUCCUUUUGUCUUCGUAUUGUCUUCGCCCUGACACCCCUCUUAGAUGGUAAGCUUUCUGAGGGCAGGGCUGUCUGUUUUGCUUUUUCUUAUUGGUAUCUCUAGUGGUUAGCACAGAGCCUAGCACAUAUUAUGUGCUUAAUAAAUGUUUGUUCACUUUAGACUGAUUGGCA